ensembl:snoRNA
GGUGCUGGACCUGCUCGAGCCACGAUCCAGUGUUUAGCUGCACCUGUGACGGGGAGGCAAGGAGGACGUGGCUAUUUCUAUGCGCAGUGCUCACAAUACUGAGCACUCAGAACGGUUUAUAGCCUAACAAGC